GCGGCCCUUGCGCCCCUGCGGGCGGUGAGGGCGGACCACGGGGCGGAGAGGAGCGCUACGGCGCGGCGUAGCUCCGACGGUUGCUUUGCAGCGAGGACCUUAGAGUUUUUCUUUCCCCGCUCCACACUGUAAAACCGUGGAGCUGGAAAGACCGCUGAAGGCCAUCUCACAUAGCCACCUCGUUUUUAUCAAUGGGCGACUGAAAUUGAGAGGGGAGACGCGGCGCAGGGGGCGGGAAGUCAUGAGACAUCAAUCAAUAUAUGUAAGAAGAACGUUGAUUCAGUCUGGAAAGGCAUGACAUCUUGAAGCAGGAAGGGGGCUUCCAGGUCAUAGGUUUGCCCCACAAGAAGAUAAUUCCCUUCUACUUCUGCUGUGUAACUUCCAUGGUGCAUCAUCUGGUCCAUUGGCACCAGCUCAGGAAGCAAGAUUUCAUGCCUUGUGGUGGAGUCUCGCUCUGUCGCACAGGCUGGAGUGCAGUGGACAAUUUCGGCUCACUGCAAGCUCCGCCUCCCGGGUUCACGCCAUUCUCCUGCCUCAGCCUCCUGAGUAGCUGGGACUACAGGCGCCCGCCACCACGCCCAGCUAAUUUUUUGUAUUUUUAGUAGAGACAGGUUUUCACCGUGUUAGUCAGGAUGGUCUCAAUCUCCUGACCUCGUGAUCCACCCGCCUCAGCCUCCCAAAGUGCUGGGAUUACAGGCGUGAGCCACUGCGCCCGGCAAUACAUUCUUUUUUUAAAAAAUUCCUUGGCUUGUUAAGUUAGGUUGUUUGAAAUCUUUCUUUAUUUUAUUUUAUUUUUGAGACAGGUUCUGGCUCUAUCGGCCAGGCUGUAAUGCAGGGACCUGAUCUUGGCUCACUGCAGCCUCAGCCUCCCCGGGGUUUAAGCCAUCCUCCCACAUCAGACUCCUAAGUAGCUGGGACUACAAGCAUGUGUCAGCACAUCUGGCUAAUUUUUGUAUCUGUUGUAGAGAUGGGGUUUCGCCAGAUUGCCCAGACUGGUCUCGAUCUCCUAAGUUCAAGUGAUCUGCCCACCUUCCAAAGUGCUGGGAUUACAGGUGUGAGCCACUGUGCCCGGCCUUUCUUCUUUUUAAAUGUAGGCAUUUUUCACUAUGAACUUCCUGUUUAAUACUGCUUUUGCUGCAUCCCAUAAGUUUUGACAUGUUGUGUUUUCAUUUUUGUCUCAAGGUAUUUUUAAAUUUCCUUUUUGAUUUCUUUUUUGACAGAGUUCAAGAGUGUGUUGUCUAAUUUUCACAUAUUUCUGAAUUUUCCAGUUUUCCUUCCGCUAUUGAAAGGGAUGGAGGUUGCAGACACAUAGUACUCUGCCACAUAGCUAAUGUCACUCCUCUCAACAUACAGUUUUGAUUUAAGAAAAAUCAUAGUUAACAUUUUAUAUGUUAAAGAAUAUUGAUCUCAGACCAAUAACCAAUAUUAUACUUAGCAAUAAAACAUUAGAAGCAUUUCCACUGAUGUUAGUAAUUCAACUAUAAUUACCAUUAUUUAACAUUAUUCUGGAAGUGCUCAUCAAUGUAACAAUGAGAAAAGGAAAUGAGGGAGGUAUAAAUAUUUGAUAGGAAGAGAUAAAAUUAUCAUUUUUCCAAGAUGAUAUGGUUGCUUGAGAAACUAUUAGACUUAAGACACUUAGAAAGUUUGGCAAUUAUAACAGAAAUAUUAAAAAACUAAUAGCUUUCCUAUAUAUAUCAGCAAUACUCUGUUAAGAUAGAUAAUGGAAGAAAGAACUCAUAUAUGACAGCAAUAAAAAAAUCAAAGCACCUAGGAAUAAACUUAAUGAUAAAUGUACAUAUCUACAAAACUUUACCAUGAAAUCUAGAAAGAAAUUUGAAUACAGGGAAAGGCAGUCCACAUUUCUGUAUUAGAAAAUUUAAUAUUGUAAAGGUAUUAAAUUUCCUCAAGCUAAACCUAUAAAUUUAACAAAAUCCCAAUAAAAAUACCUGGGAACUAUUUUUAGAAUGUGAAAAAAAAACUAUCUUAAGGCUUAUUUAGAAAAAUAAAUGAAGAAUGUCAAGCACACUUUUAGGAAGAACAGUAGUGAAAAGUUCUUUUCCUAACAGAUAUUAAUGUGAACUAGCAAGAUAUAAUAACUAAAACAUUGCUGUUUUAGCUAAAAAAGAGACAGUUCAGAAAUAUAUCCAAAUGUGUAUAAGAGUUUAGUAUAUAAUAAAUCUGCUGCCUCAUGUCAGUGGAGAGAGUGUUAGGAUGAACUGUCUAAUCAUUAAAACAAAGUUAAAUCCAAACUCACAUAGCACACUAAGAUAAAUCCAGAAGGAUUAAAAAUUUUAAUGUAAGUACAAGAAAAUACAGGUGAAUAUUUAUAAAACCUUGGGGGUAAGGGAUGACUUUGUAAACAUGAAACUAAAGGCUUAAAGUAUAAAGGAUGAUAGAUCUGAUUAUAUGAAAAUGUAAAACUUUUAUGUAGCAAAAUUUAUCAUAAACUAAGUUGAAAGACAAAUUACACUGGAGGAAAGUGUCCUUAACCAUAGAUUCUUUCUUUUUGUUUUUCUUUUCUUCUUUGACAGAGUUUCACUCUGUUGCUGAGGCUGGAGUGCAGUGAAUCACCUAAACUCUGGGGCUCAAGUGAUUCUCCUGCCUCAUCCUCCCAAGUAGUUUGGACUACAGGCAUGCGCCACCAUGCCCAGCUAACUUUUUCAUUUUUUUUAGAGAUGGAGUCUCACUGUGUUGCCCAAGCUCAUCUUAACUCCUGGGCUCAAGUAAUCCUCCCACUUCAGCCUCCCAAAGUGUUGAGAUUACAGGCUUGAGCCACCACAUCCAGACCAAAGAUUCUUCUCUUUAACAUUCAAAGAUUUUCUUCAAAUCAAUAAAUGAAAAUACUUCUCCACUCACACUGCUUCACUUGACUAGCC